CUCCCUGCUGUUUUUGGACUACAACUCCCAUCAUCCCUAGCUAGUGGAACCAGUGGCCAGGGAUGAUGGGAACUGUAGUCCAAAAACAGCUGGAGA
rnacentral:miRNA from 1 species